UACGAAGGGUGCAAGCGUUGUUCGGAUUUAUUGGGCGUAAAGCGCGCGUAGGCGGACCUGUAAGUCAGAUGUGAAAUCUCGGGGCUCAACCUCGAAACUGCGUCUGAAACUGCAGGUCUAGAAUCUCGGAGGGGGAAGGGGAGUUUCGCAUGUAGGGGUAAAAUCCGUAGAUAUGCGAAGGAACACCAGGGGCGAAGGCGCCUUCCUGGACGAGUAUUGACGCUGAGGCGCGAAAGCGUGGGGAUCAAACAGG
rnacentral:rRNA from 1 species